AUUUCCAUAACUAUCUAGAGUAUUCAAGAGCAUGAAACCGAAAUUAGAAGAAAAACAAAGAAGAGAAGAGGAGAGAAAGGAAGAGGAGAAACUAGAGAAACUAGAGAGAAAGCUACGAAUUUAAGAGAAAAAGAGGCUGCCCAAAACGUUACCAAACAGUCCCUAAGUUUCAGCUGCGCUAAAGGGAAUUCCGAGGCAAGUUUUGGCGAGUUUUGGUGAAUUUCGGGAAAGGUUCAAGAGACGACGAGGCGAGCAUAGUUAAGAGUAAUCCGUAAGAGGUACAGAUGAUUGGUUUGCUGAUCCGCUCGCUUAGGACAUCCACCAUGUUGGUCGACAGUGCUCCUUUGUUCGGAGUUCUAUUUUGGUACUGACACCUUCUGUUGUAUAUAUAUAUAUGUUGUUCAGGGUACGGCGGGGCCCUGUCCCAUCAUAUGACUAGGAUAUCAUUCU